GACGAACGCUGGCGGCGUGCUUAACACAUGCAAGUCGAACGGAAAGGCCCUGCUUUUGUGGGGUGCUCGAGUGGCGAACGGGUGAGUAACAAGUGAGUAACCUGCCCUUGACUUUGGGAUAACUUCAGGAAACUGGGGCUAAUACCGGAUAGGAGCUCCUGCUGCAUGGUGGGGGUUGGAAAGUUUCGGCGGUUGGGGAUGGACUCGCGGCUUAUCAGCUUGUUGGUGGGGUAGUGGCUUACCAAGGCUUUGACGGGUAGCCGGCCUGAGAGGGUGACCGGCCACAUUGGGACUGAGAUACGGCCCAGAAUCCUACGGGAGGCAGCAGUGGGGAAUAUUGCACAAUGGGCGGAAGCCUGAUGCAGCAACGCCGCGUGCGGGAUGACGGCCUUCGGGUUGUAAACCGCUUUCGCCUGUGACGAAGCGUGAGUGACGGUAAUGGGUAAAGAAGCACCGGCUAACUACGUG
rnacentral:rRNA from 1 species